CCUACGGGAGGCAGCAGUGAGGAAUAUUGGUCAAUGGCCGAGAGGCUGAACCAGCCAAGUAGCGUGAAGGAAGACGGCCCUACGGGUUGUAAACCUCUUUUGUCGGGGAGCAAAGCGAGUCACGUGUGACUCAUUGAGAGUACCCGAAGAAAAAGCAUCGGCUAACUCCGUGCCAGCAGCCGCGGUAAUACGGAGGAUGCGAGCGUUAUCCGGAUUUAUUGGGUUUAAAGGGUGCGCAGGGGGAGGUGCAAGUCAGCGGUCAAAUUGCGGGGCUCAACCCCGUACUGCCGUUGAAACUGGGUGCCUUGAGUGCGGGAGAAGUAUGCGGAAUGCGUGGUGUAGCGGUGAAAUGCAUAGAUAUCACGAAGAACUCCGAUUGCGAAGGCAGCAUACCGGCGCGCAACUGACGCUCAUGCACGAAAGCGUGGGUAUCGAACAGGAUUAGAUACCCCAGUAGUC
rnacentral:rRNA from 1 species